AAUUUUUAGAAAAUUCUCGCAUAAAUCUAUUCCAUCAUUUUAGAAUAUAAACCUUGAUUAAUUUCAAGAACAACAUGAUUCCUGCACUUCCUGCAAAAAUGUUCUCAAUUUUUUUUUUAAAAUGCACUCAAUUGAAUUCCACAUGUGCGCAAGCAUUUACUAGAUGGAGUCAAAUAUGGUGUGCCCAAUAUGAAAUUAUAUAUUGUGAUUGCACCAGGAAGAAGGA
rnacentral:misc_RNA from 1 species